rnacentral:rRNA from 1 species
GAUGAACGCUGACAGCAUGCUUAACACAUGCAAGUCCACUUGAACUUCGGUUUGGGUGGCGGACGGGUGAGUAACGCGUAAAGAACUUGCCUCACAGAUAGGGACAACAUUUGGAAACGAAUGCUAAUACCUGAUAUUAUGAUUAUAUGGCAUCGUAUAAUUAUGAAAGCUAUAUGCGCUGUGAGAGAGCUUUGCGUCCCAUUAGCUAGUUGGAGAGGUAACGGCUCACCAAGGCGAUGAUGGGUAGCCGGCCUGAGAGGGUGAUCGGCCACAAGGGGACUGAGACACGGCCCUUACUCCUACGGGAGGCAGCAGUGGGGAAUAUUGGACAAUGGACCAAGAGUCUGAUCCAGCAAUUCUGUGUGCACGAUGAAGUUUUUCGGAAUGUAAAGUGCUUUCAGUUGGGAAGAAAAAAAUGACGGUACCAACAGAAGAAGUGACGGCUAAAUACGUG